rnacentral:rRNA from 1 species
UACGGGGGGAGCAAGCGUUGUUCGGAUUUACUGGGCGUAAAGGGUGCGUAGGCGGUCUUCUAAGUUUGAUGUGAAAUCCCGGGGCUCAACCCUGGAAUUGCAUUGAAUACUGGAGGACUCGAGUCCCGGAGAGGAAACUGGAAUUUACGGUGUAGCAGUGAAAUGCGCAGAGAUCGUAAGGAAGGCCAGUGGCGAAGGCGAGUUUCUGGACGGGUACUGACGCUGAGGCACGAAGGCCAGGGGAGCAAACGGG